rnacentral:misc_RNA from 1 species
AAGUCGUAACAAGGUUUCCGUAGGUGAACCUGCGGAAGGAUCAUUAUCACGUAUCCAAACGUAUAAACCCAAUGUGCACCUAAAACUAUCCUCCUUUUAGGAUUUCAUGAAGUGGCGGAGAAGUUGAUAUUCUGAUUCAUGGUCUUUCAGAAUUUCUCCGUCGUGACUUUCACUUUACGGUGGAAGUCAGCCUUCUAAUCCGGGAGUCGUAUCAAACCAUGCUUGUUUUACUAUAACAACUUGUACCUUUCUGAACUAACUUUGGUUUCGAAGAAAAAGACACGCAAGUGCUUUUUUUCUGAAGAACCUUGAUUUAUAUAAACUCUGAACUACUCUUAACAACGGAUAUCUUGGUUCUC